AGUUUAGUCGUAGUUUAGGUUACGUUUGCCUUGUAAAUAGUAUAAGCAAAGAUCUGAAUAAAGUCCCGAGUUCGGGCAAAGAAACAAUAAUGUAAUGUGUGCAAAAAGAAGAAUUCCCUGCAACAAAUGGUGGCUUUUGCUACGCUCCUUCCCUACCUCUUAGCAAGCCUUAGUUGUUUUUUUUGGAAACAAUCCCUUCAAAAUUUGAAAACUUUAAAUACUUUAGUGUCGAGUAAGAUAGAUACAACCCGGCCUUAGUGAUAUUUAUAGUGACAAUUUUUGGUGGAAACCUCAGUUUCAUGAAACUUAGUGUCUUAGUAAAUUUUGCAAUCAAAUUGGUGGUGGUGGAGAAUAUUGGCAAAAGUUUCGGAAGAGCAUAUCUACUCAUUUUUGGACUUUGAGAGGAAGGCGGAUUUUUGAAACGUUGGUGAGAGAAAAUAAAUAUCCAGAAAAGGAACCCCACACAUUUUGGACUAUGUUGCGAAAAUUGCUUUACCACACCAACUUACCACCACAAAUCUCCGGGGCAGAUUGUCAAUAGUUUUCUUGAUUUCGAAACCCGGGUAAUGGAAGAUCUCACACCUCCACGGAAAUCAAUCUGGAUGAAGCUUAUGAAGAUUUUCGUCAGAAUAGCGAACAUCCCUACUUGGAAUCCCUAUUCUUCUGUGGAUUUUGAGGACGAUAGCCCCAUGUACACCUCGAUUCAUCCUGUCUAUGCUACCUAACUGCAAUGGCUCGC